AAAGAGUUUCUUGCCUUGGGGCUAUGCAACUUCUGCCUGUGUUUUAAGGCACUUUUAUUGAAUUUUUAAGCAAAUUCUUUUAUUUUAUGUUUUCUCAGGACAAUGCUGUAAUCCUGCAUGGAGGAGGGAGAUGUUACAGACAUAUAUUCAGAUGAUCCAGACCCACCCCAAUACUCGAUGUUACGUCCUGUCUCAUGGACUCCUACAGAAGCACUAAAACCAUGGCACACAAAGGCACCACGGGACUCCCACCAUCAUCAGAGCUUUCCGCCUGCCUCUGGCUCUAGCUGUCAGAACCGCUUCAGCUGAAAUCAAGGUUGAUGUGCAUACCACUAGGUAUAUAAAUUACAUCUGCCUGUGCUUCUGCAGGAUCAAUGCUCAGCCUUCUACAUAUGAAGAGUUCUUUAGAUUUAUGCAGUAGCUAUGUUUGUCAAAGUAUUUGGCACUGGUGACGUCAUCUUUGUUGAAAUGCUGGAUGGCGUGAUGAGUCCCAGAUGUUAAUGCACACUGAGAGAUGAGAAAGGAUAAAAUACAAAGAGCAACACUAACAGCUAUGGAGGAGUGCACUCGCUUUACAUUCUGGAGCUGAUGGAUGAAUACGUAGUUUUUUUCCAAGGCAUCCCUAAGCUGUUAAACCUUCCAGGCCAUUUAAAAGAUGAGCAAGAACAAACAAUGUGAUUAAAGGGAGCUACCAAAAGCUGUACAAGUGUCACCUGCCACCACUGCUCAUUACACAGAUUAAGCUGUCAACUUUUAAUUUCUGGACAAUUUGAGAGGGGGUACGUGAAGACCUGAAAAGAAGGGUUUAUUUUGCUAAAAGGAAAAAGAGAAUUGUUGUUAAGAACCUCUGCUGAAAUGCACUGAACUGUCUUCUUGGGCUUCACUGACUGCAAAAAUAGAAGAUAUUCUCCUGAGUGAUGACUGGUUUUCAUCCCAUCAUGUCCUGAGCUUCCACAUCCCUCUGCUCAAAGAAAUGCCAGUUCCUCCAACCACUUGUGUUUUGCUGGAUACCUGUCAACUCUUCACAUUCAGAGACCUUGGAAAAGUAACCAACUUUGAAGAUUUUGUAGCCGGCUUUUUGUCUGAAUGGGAAACUGCUGAGUUUCAUCUCAUCCCUGUUGUGACUAAUUCCAGGACACUGGGAAAGACCCCGAGCUCUAAAAGUUGGAUUAAGAUCUUUACUUCAGCAGCUGAGGUCAGUGGCUCCUGUCGUUUGGUCUGCACUUCUCCUCACUCAGAGACUGGUCCCAAAUACAGACCCUCAGCCUAAGAAACAGUCACACUCAGGAAACUGGGAAAAAGAGUCCUGAGGGCAGAAAGAAAUGAGAUCUACCUGGUGGAGGCAGAACAAAAAGAUUAUACCACCUGUGUUCAUUCUUGCAAGAUGUGAAUAUAAGGAGCUAUUUUCAACUGAAAAGUCUGUAGAAGAGAUUUUGGAACAAACAGGAGUAAAUCAACAGGAUCUAAUUGUGAGGAGCAGAUGAUACUUCUCCAGAUGGAACUCAAAUGUGAAAUUGCAGAAGUUUAACUUUGGUUCCAGCACCAGUAGGUGUAUUCCAGACAAAUGAGAGUUACUGGAGAUGUUGCUGGGGCCGGCUGAGUCACUGUCAGCACAGUCACACGGAAAGCUCCUGGUAAGGCUGCAGUAAGGAGACCUCAACUUCAGCCUGCUCAACAUGCGUAUGAAAACUAAAAAGAGAAGAGGUAUCAUAAACAUGCACUUUGGCAAGUUUGGGAGUGUCUGCUUUUUCCGCUGCAGUUUUUGAGAUGCAACGUGACUACUUCAUCAAGCCGACUUUUCACUGGGAUAGAAGAACCAGAAAAUGAACCUGGCACUAGAAGCUUGCAUUCUUUCCUCAGCUAGGAAAGUGAUGGGUCUCUCCAGAUCAAGAUUCACCAAAGCAUAUACCAGACUUUUGAUGCUGGAUGUGAAGGCAGAGAAACAAUUUACUGUUGUGAAACAAAGAGCCUCUUCCUCAGGAGACGCAGACUGGUAAAAUUCAUGUGAAGGCUCACCCUGACUUCCUUGACUGCAAUGCAAUCCAAACACAGGCUUGAAGGCCCAACAGUCAGAGUAUUGGGUCAAGCUGAGAACUUGUGGGUUGCUGUCCUGGGCUCAGCUGCUGGUCUUGCCUCAACCUCUUCAGCAAAAAAUGUUUCAGGUUGCUUCUGGAGAGAAGUGAUGUGGAGCUGUCCUAUGCAAUGACAGGGAAGCACUUGCAGAGCAGCACAGAGGUUAGGGAUACCCCUUGGAGGAAGACAUUCAUGCUCUGUGCCAACUUGUGGGCUCCCAUCCACCUCCCACUGCAGCUCCUCUGUCUCCUGCCGUGGGACACCACCAACCCUGGCUGUCCUUGGCUCCAUCACUUCCCAAGCUCAGCAGGACUCAGUUCACUGGCCCAAAACAGUGGAAUAAAUCUCACAGUUUUUCCCUAAUCCUUGAGUUUUCAUGACGGCAGUUUUCCUGUUGAUUUCAGCAGAAGUGGUAUCUGAAGAUGAAUGGCAAGAUAAUACCCAUUUGAAAUAUAAGUGGACAGCAGCAUCAGAUCAAAUGGGUGGUGAAAAGAGACUGAAUGGAAAAUGAUGACAGGACAAAAAUACCCCUUCCUACCUACAUCUUCAGUGUUUUCAUUUCCAAGCAUUUGUUAAGCAAGGAAGGAGUUUUCUCUCUAUUUAAUGUAAUUUAGUGAUAAUUCUUUGGAAAAGGGAAAAGAUCCUUUCACAGCUGUAUCAACAAUAUCUUCUCUCUCAAAAGAAAACAGCAGCUGACUUAACAUGUCAAGCAUCACGUAUUUGGCCACAGAAGGCAAGUGUAAGCCAGACUGGCCAAUAGCACUGACUUGGAACAAUGCCACUGAAAAGUUGGUCUGUAAACUGAUGCUACCUUAUUUCUUGGAUUGUAGAAGGGCUUGCUGAGAUUUAGCAGCAAUGCAGAACUACCACAUUCCUCGUAGAUAUUUCUUUUCUUGUUACACAAGAUCCAUGCAUGAAGUGAAAAAGAACAAAUGAACAUCAGGUUUACAUCACCACUGAUAUGUGAAUGAUUGAUCACCCAUUAAAUCACAUACAGAGCUGGUAACAGCACACGGGGUAGCGUUAAAGUAAAAUGUUUGAUAUUCUUUACUCUAAUUAAACAUGGAAAUAAUAUGAUGCAGUCUGUAUUGUAAAUGUUAUUGCAGAUUAUAGACCUAAAGGAGAGGUGUUAUGCCACCUUUAUAGCCUCCAGUUCCUGGAGACUGUGACUUAGAGCUGCCUCAGGGCUGCCCUAAAUUACACCAGUUGGUAAUGACUCCCAAAGGGCCGCUAUGCAUCCAGUGGUUGCUGGAGUGUAAAGUACUUUGGCUAUGCCAACAGCCCAUCAUUUCGCAAUGGAGGCUGAGAGCAGCUGGCAUAGUGCUUGGAGAAAAUCCCCAAGUAGUGGUUUAAGACAUUUUUCGAACUCUUUUUUUUUAUCAUGAGAGUGAUAUAAAAUAAAGGCCAGAUUUCACAAACACACAGGGGCUUUUUCUUUAUUAUUUAAGCAUCUGUAGUCGUGAGUUGAUAAACUGAGAGAUGAGGGUUUCAAUAGGAUUUCAGAGCAGGUAUCAACCCAAUAUGCUUCAGCUUGGCAGCAUUCCAGCUCUCUGCCCUGGCCCAGAUUCCCUGCAUUGUGCAGUGGAGCACCACUGGCUGUCAAAGGCAUACUCCUGGUUUACAUCUCUGUUAGUAAAAGGAGAACUGGAUUCCCCCUUGUAAGUGCCAGUUUUUCAAUUCAGGAUCAUAUUCCAUUCUUCGAUGGAAGAAUGUCAUCGAUAAAACUUGACUUUCCACAUGUAAAAUGUUUUUGUAAAUGUAUGUGUGACUCAUUCAAUAGCUCAGACCAUCCGCACUCAGUGAGUGAUGAUUUUUCUGUGCAGUGGGUGGGUGGGCCAACCAUUCUUAAGCAAACCUCAAAUAUCAAAAAGUCUUCUUGGAAACUGGGGCAUAAUAUUGGCCAUUUGGAGAUUUUAUUUUGAUGUGAUGCUCACUUAAACCAUCCUGAAGAUAACAGCUGACUGCUAGCAGCAGAAACUCAUAACUCACAAGCUGAGCUGAUGCAGUCCAAAAUUCAGAUGACUGUGUUUCCAAAUCUCUGAGACAACAAGCCACUGCUGAUGAUCUUACUAUCAGAACUUUGAAACAUAAUCAAAAAUAAAGUAAUUGACAAAGAUAUCACAGGUAAGAAACAUACAAACCCUAUGGGCAGGCACAGGUUGGUGUUUUUCUUAGGUAAAUUUACUAGAGAAAAGUAUCUUUUCUAUUCUAAAGAGAGCUUUUUUAAAAAGUCACUGAAUUCCAGUAUUACUGAGGAGAAGAACAAUUUCACAAAGAAAUAUUUCUAGAUGUGAAUUCAUAAAGAACUCAUUCUCGUAUUUUGUGGAGGAAGAUGAGUGUUAAGACAGAGGGCUGAGCUGUAACCAUUCUAAUGGGAGGAAAAAACUAGCAUUCCCUUCUCUUUUGCUGAGUUUUUGAGCUAGCCUUGGCUAGCAGAUCUGAGUAGGGUGGAAAAAAGUCAAAAGAAGGACUGAUUAAAGAAGCUAAUGUUGCAUCUUGUCUGCUCCCUGACUGUGCAUCCUUCUGUGCACGUGGAAGAGAGAUGGUCUGGCAUUUCUGUCUCUCCCUGCAAGGCUCAAAUGGUGGUUAGAAAACUUCCUUAGUGCUUUGUACAUAUCUGCUUACACAUGGACACAUCCCAGUUCCCAGCAAAAAAGGUGAGGAAUGUGGAUCAUCAAAUGGUAGAAUAAAACAUAACAAAAUGGUCAGAAAGAGAUCAUCUGGCCCAUCGUUCUGCCUGAAGGCAGGAUUGACUUCAGCUAAGUACAUUCUGAUAGCCAUCUGUCACUCUAUUUUUUGAAUUAUUAAAUUAUUUUUAAUAGUUGUAACACCUGUUAUUAUCCUCUAAGCAAUCCAUUCCAGUGAUUAGCUAUUAUUUCUGCACCCUGUAGUAACACUGCUAACCUAGAACUAGCAUGAGCCAAGUAUUGGCGGUCCAUCACUUGUUAUACUCACUUCUUUCACUAGAUCCUUUCUGGAGUUUGGAAAGAAGCCUAGAUGACUGGAACCUCCCAUAUCAAAGGACUUGGACCAUGAUUUUUGUUUAUUUAAUGGUUUAAAUUUGACAGAAUUCCUUGGAUGGCAAAGGAUUUAUUUUGUAUUUCCCCUGGAGCUGGAAUAUAAUACCUGAGGACUGGAAAAUGUUUUGUUAAAACAUAAAAGCAACUGAUUUUUUCUCCUGUGUACUUUUAAAAUUUGUUCUGAAGGCAGAAAGGGAUGGAAAACUGUGUAAUUAAAGAAAUCUAAAGGAGGGACAGUAAUGAACAAAUACCAUUAUUUUUGCCACAGUUCUUGAGGAAGCUAAGAUAGAGGUGCAGAAAAUCUGUUACAGUGAUGCACUUUACUUAGCAUGGGAGUUCAUGCAGUGCAAAGAGCUUAAUGUGUGCAGCUGAGCUGGGCCUAAUGGGCAUCAGUUGUUAUCUGUGGAAAUGGAGUCUGUUAGAAGGAGGCUGGCUACUAUACCCAUCUGAGAUGGCUAGUGGGAUUUUCAACGUACUAGUGACCUUUUCUUACUCAUUUUGCUGAAUUUUUAUCCAAUAAAAGCCAUCAUCUGCCCAAUAUACCCAAGUCUGUAUUGUGCAUUCUGAGCCCGUUGGUGAGGGUAUUGUGAGAAGCAGAUGGAGAGGAGGGGAAGACUGUAGAAAUGGAACAGGGGCUGGGGAAUAAGGGGAGCUGCUGAAAGCCGUAUACACUCACUCUCACAUUUUUAUAUAUACUUUUAAGUAGGCUUCUAUACAUACAAGUAUAUGCAUAUAUAUACAAAGUGCAUUCUACACAUUUCUCUGCCACAAAUGUAGAAACUGCUGUGAAUCUGCCAACAGGCUUUGCAUACUUCCUUAUGCUAGGAAAAUUCUCUAGGAAAACAAUUAUAUACCUGUUGUAAAUUGAUCCAGUUUGAUAAGAAUUUUGCUUGUUAAUUAUAUCCCUUAUAAAGCUCCAGGCACAUGAAGAAGUUACAGAUAAUUAUGAGUAACUAAGUAUGGAAAUUUAAAUAGCAAAAAAAUUAUUACCUGUUAAUGCUGCUCCCUGUCCAUUUUGAUGGGUGCAUAUGGUUAUGUUUACCCAAAAAGUCAAACUCUCCAAUAUUGUAUUAAAUAAA